rnacentral:rRNA from 1 species
GACCUCGGAUCAGGUAGGGAUACCCGCUGAACUUAAGCAUAUCAAUAAGCGGAGGAAAAGAAACCAACAGGGAUUGCCCUAGUAACGGCGAGUGAAGCGGCAACAGCUCAAAUUUGAAAUCUGGCUCUCUUUGGGGGUCCGAGUUGUAAUUUGCAGAGGAUGCUUUGGCAUUGGCGGCGGUCUAAGUUCCUUGGAACAGGACAUCGCAGAGGGUGAGAAUCCCGUACGUGGGCGCCUGCCUUUGCCGUGUAAAGCUCCUUCGACGAGUCGAGUUGUUUGGGAAUGCAGCUCUAAAUGGGAGGUAAAUUUCUUCUAAAGCUAAAUACCGGCCAGAGACCGAUAGCGCACAAGUAGAGUGAUCGAAAGAUGAAAAGUACUUUGGAAAGAGAGUCAAAAAGCACGUGAAAUUGUUGAAAGGGAAGCGCUUGCAGCCAGACUUGCCCGCAGUUGCUCACCUAGGCUUUGGCCUGGGGCACUCUUCUGCGGGCAGGCCAGCAUCAGUUUGGGCGGUCGGACAAAGGCCUCUGUCAAGUAUCUCCCUUCGGGGUGACCUUAUAGGGGAGGCGUAAUGCGACCAGCCCGGACUGAGGUCCGCGCAUCUGCUAGGAUGCUGGCG